rnacentral:rRNA from 1 species
AUGAACGCUGGCGGCGUGGAUAAGGCAUGCAAGUCGAGUGGGUUUAGACCCACGGCAGACGAGGUAGUAACACGUAGGAACGCACCCUGAAGUCGGGCAUAACUCGGCGAAAGCCGAGAUAAUUCCCGAUAGUCUCGCAAGAGUAAAGAUUUAUCGCUUCAGGAGCGGCCUGCGCAAUAUCAGCUAGUUGGUGAGGUAAUGGCUCACCAAGGCUAUGACGUUUAGGGGAGCUGAGAGGCUGACCCCCACCGAUGGAACUGAGAUACGGUCCAUACACCUACGGGUGGCCGCAGUCGAGAAUCUUCCGCAAUGGGCGAAAGCCUGACGGAGCGACGCCGCGUGAUUGAUGAAGUCCCUCUGGGACGUAAAGAUCUUUUAUGAGGGAAGAAGUUUUGACGGUACCUCAUGAAUAAGGGGCUCCUAAUCUCGU